GGCCCGCUGGCGCAACGGUAGCGUACGUGUUUCUGUUAUGAGUCAGUUUCCGAUUAAUACUAACAAUAUCCAGGCGUCAGAUUCCAGUCACUUGGAACUUCCUGAAGGUUACCUGUUCGAAUCAGGUGUGGGUCA